UACGGAGGGUGCGAGCGUUGUCCGGAAUCAUUGGGCGUAAAGGGCUCGUAGGCGGUUUGUCGCGUCGGGAGUGAAAUCCACUGGCUUAACUGGUGGCUUGCUUUCGAUACGGGCAGACUGGAGGUAUGCAGGGGAGAACGGAAUUCCUGGUGUAGCGGUGAAAUGCGCAGAUAUCAGGAGGAACACCGGUGGCGAAGGCGGUUCUCUGGGCAUGUCCUGACGCUGAGGCACGAAGGUCAGGGGAGCAAACGGG
rnacentral:rRNA from 1 species